CUGUUGUGUGUGAGUGUUGUUGUUGCUUUUUGUCGACAACUCCGCGUCACGCUCGUCGUGCUUCUCAGGCCAGUGGCGCUUGAAUGGCGUGGGCUUUCAUGCGAGUACCGGUCAUGCUCUUCCGAAGAGAACAUUACACGCUGCGGCUGCGGCACGCGCACGCUUCAUCGCGAUGAUCUGAUUCUAAUCAA
rnacentral:rRNA from 1 species